GAUGAACGCUGGCGGCGUGCCUAAUACAUGCAAGUCGAGCGAACAGAUGAGGAGCUUGCUCCUCUGACGUUAGCGGCGGACGGGUGAGUAACACGUGGAUAACCUACCUAUAAGACUGGGAUAACUUCGGGAAACCGGAGCUAAUACCGGAUAAUAUAUUGAACCGCAUGGUUCAAUAGUGAAAGACGGUUUUGCUGUCACUUAUAGAUGGAUCCGCGCCGCAUUAGCUAGUUGGUAAGGUAACAGCUUACCAAGGCAACGAUGCGUAGCCGACCUGAGAGGGUGAUCGGCCACACUGGAACUGAGACACGGUCCAGACUCCUACGGGAGGCAGCAGUAGGGAAUCUUCCGCAAUGGGCGAAAGCCUGACGGAGCAACGCCGCGUGAGUGAUGAAGGUCUUCGGAUCGUAAAACUCUGUUAUUAGGGAAGAACAAAUGUGUAAGUAACUAUGCGCGUCUUGACGGUACCUAAUCAGAAAGCCACGGCUAACUACGUG
rnacentral:rRNA from 1 species